UCCGAGAAAGAAAAUGGUGUGUGGUGUUGAGAAAAUUUGUUACAAGAAAAAUGAAAGAGUAAAAGAUUACUAAGAUUUUCUAAUAAUGUGAGUUAGUUGAGAAAUAAUAAUCUAGUAAUUGGGCAAUUAAUGUCACUUUUACCCCAAAUUCUUGUUUUUUUGCUGCCUGAUUGAGGGAUUGACUAAUGGAAACAAAGAUAAUUAAUCAAGUAGAUUUUUUUGUCCCAAUAGGGCUCACAAAGAACAAUAGAAACCAAACUUUAAAUGUCAGAUCACCAAAUAAAAACAGUCAAUAGUUUUUCGCUACUAACUAAUGUGCUCUUUAACUGACACGACGAGUAAGGCUUCAAUUCCCUGAGAUGUUAAGGAAACCGACGUCUUUAAUGCCAAGUGUGUCACUACUCCGGGUAACAACCCAAAACUUUGGAGAACAUGAACGCACUCAACCGGAUGGAAAUGCGUACCUCAAAUCGCCCAGCAACGAUUGAUGAUCCACAUCCAUCCACUUCAAAUCGAAUGCGACAUGGCAGAAGAGAACAAAUUAACUCAAAACUAAUAUGUGCCGCCGCAGUUAUGCAAUUGGUCGGCGAUACGGGGGGUGAGCGAGCGGUUCAAUGUGCGAUAGCGAAUAUGAAACGUUUACGAACUGUGACAUCAUCAUCCAUCAGACGGCAAUUGACGUCAGCGAGGACGUGAUCACUUCCCAAACUAUACCGGAAGCCAUACUACUUUAUAGCCCCUGCGAUCGUGAAACUUUGAUGACGCUCAAACCUGAUUCUUCCAGUUAUUGCCUAGCUGUGGGAAAGUGGCCUCGCGUGAUUUGUAACGUGCGACGACCGUCAACACCUACAUUAGCCCAAUCGCCGAUAACCGCAGCUUAACGGGACUAAUGACGUGUUAAAAAGGAUCAGGUAAUAUAAUAUCCACGUCUAACUACGUCAUAAUAGAAAUAUAUAGCCGACGGACUAUUAGCUCGGGGAUUAUCCCCAACAGUGGGUGGGCAAUAUCCAUCCCGGCACGACCACCCACGGCCAGCACGCGGAGACUAUAUAGGAUAUACAUGUUCGCCGAGCGCGUGUUGUGUGUCGUU